rnacentral:lncRNA from 1 species
CCCUGAUCACCUACCACCGAUGAAUCGGGAGUCACCCAACCCAUCAUCCUCUCCAUCCUCAGGCCUUUGUCCUCUAACAUUGUGAGCGAGGAACAAAACUACAAUGAACAAUGCGGCUAGCUGCUUCAUAAGACUAUCCAUGGUGUAUGGGCAAGUGAAGGUAUUCUCGCCUUCACCACCUCGAUGCCCUUUCUUGCUUCUUCUUGUUGUUUUUAUAUUGCAUGGUGGAUGGAGUCAAAGAGUCUGCAUUCACUGCAUUUCCAGACAGCGUUGAGAAAGUUGGGG